UACAUAGGGGGCAAGCGUUAUCCGGAUUUAUUGGGCGUAAAGGGUGCGUAGGCGGCUUGUUAAGUCUAAGGUGUAAGUGCAGGGCUCAACCCUGUGAUGCUUUAGAAACUGGUGAGCUAGAGAUAGAUAGAGGCAAGUGGAAUUCCAUGUGUAGCGGUAAAAUGCGUAAAUAUAUGGAGGAACACCAGUGGCGAAGGCGGCUUGCUGGGUCUAUACUGACGCUGAGGCACGAAAGCGUGGGGAGCAAACAGG
rnacentral:rRNA from 1 species